GCCGAGGUAGCUCAGGGGUAGAGCAGCUGAUUCGUAAUCAGCAGGUCGUGAGUUCAAAUCUCAUUCUCGGCU
rnacentral:tRNA from 4 species